rnacentral:rRNA from 1 species
GAUGAACGCUGGCGGCGUGCCUAACACAUGCAAGUCGAGCGAAGCGCUUAAAUUGGAUUUCUUCGGAAUGACGAUUUUUGUGACUGAGCGGCGGACGGGUGAGUAACGCGUGGGUAACCUGCCUCAUACAGGGGGAUAACAGUUAGAAAUGACUGCUAAUACCGCAUAAGACCACAGCUUCGCAUGAAGCAGAGGUAAAAACUCCGGUGGUAUGAGAUGGACCCGCGUCUGAUUAGCUAGUUGGUAAGGUAACGGCUUACCAAGGCGACGAUCAGUAGCCGACCUGAGAGGGUGACCGGCCACAUUGGGACUGAGACACGGCCCAGACUCCUACGGGAGGCAGCAGUGGGGAAUAUUGCACAAUGGGGGAAACCCUGAUGCAGCGACGCCGCGUGAAGGAUGAAGUAUUUCGGUAUGUAAACUUCUAUCAGCAGGGAAGAA